rnacentral:rRNA from 1 species
CCUACGGGCGGCAGGAGUAGGGAAUCUUUCACAAUGGGCGAAAGCCUGAUGGAGCAACGCCGCGUGCAGGAUGAAGGCCUUCGGGUUGUAAACUGCUUUUAUAAGCGAGAAAUAUGAUGGUAACUUAUGAAUAAGGAUCGGCUAACUACGUGCCAGCAGCCGCGGUCAUACGUAGGAUCCGAGCAUUAUCCGGAGUGACUGGGUGUAAAGAGUUGCGUAGGUGGCAUAAUAAGUAGCUAGUGAAAUCUGGUGGCUCAACCAUUCAGACUAUUAGCUAAACUGUUAAGCUCGAGACCGUUAGGGGUAACUGGAAUUUCUAGUGUAGGAGUGAAAUCCGUAGAUAUUAGAAGGAACACCAAUAGCGUAGGCAGGUUGCUGGGACGGUUCUGACACUAAGGCACGAAAGCGUAGGGAGCAAACGGGAUUAGAUACCCCUGUAGUC